rnacentral:rRNA from 1 species
UACGGGGGGGGGCAAGCGUUGUUCGGAAUUACUGGGCGUAAAGGGUUUGUAGGUGGCCUGCUAAGUCAGACGUGAAAUCCCUCAGCUUAACUGGGGAACUGCGUCUGAGACUGGUAGGCUCGAGGACAGGAGAGGAACGCGGAAUUCCAGGUGUAGCGGUGAAAUGCGUAGAUAUCUGGAGGAACACCGACGGCGUAGGCAGCGCCCUGGACGACACCUGACGCUGAGGCACGAAAGCGUGGGGAGCAAACAGG